ACUGGUGUGUUUAUAACUACGCAAACAGAAUCUGAUUCAUAGUAUUUGGUAUGUACGAGUAGAAAGAGCAUUGUACGACACAAAUAAAAUUAAAUAUAAACAUAAUAGCCCAGUGUCACCUUUGCCCUAUACCCACUUAAUGUAAUCGGACCUCGUCGUCCAUUCAGUCUAGUCGAUACAAAUGCAAUGAGAAGUGCAUUACUUAUCAGCGGGUCUGUGUGCGUGAUGGACUAAAGUUUAGAAUGGUUACAUCCCAGAUUCCAUUCUAACAGCCCUGUGUAUUCGCCAGCCAGACUUUUUUAUGGCAUCGCGUUCAUGGCGCAUUCAGCCAGGCGAGUAAAACGGAAUUAGAGGAUUACAUUCAAAUGGGUAGAGCGGAAUUUUGGAAAAGAUUUAUCGGAUACUCCACCGGAUACUGUCUAUGACCAUAAUAUGAUAAGAUUAUACUAGUCGUGUCUUAUCCAACCUCGACAUUGGCAGAAUCAUCAACACUUGAUGGAGCCAUAACACGAAAAAUUGAUUGAUUGGGUUACAUGAAAAGAAUAUGUGAUUAAGAUCAGCGGGAUCAACUCCAGCUCCACAAAUACAUGCGUCCCGCGAUUUUGUAGUUUCAGGUGUACCGGUAUACAUACGUGACCCAAUCUCAUUCGAAUUAACAUACUAGUUGCAGGUGAGGGUAUGGCUGGGUGCAGUUUACAGCUUCUCCAUAGGAGAUGCAGUUAUUUACUAUUUACCAUACUAAUUUCUAUUAUUUAUUUCUAUAGGCAUGACCUGUUUGAGGCGAAACGAAAUCAAAUGGCAUCCUCUUCCUCCACUACACAGGUAUUUCCAGGAUGCUUUUCCCCGCACUUAAAACAUUUAGGCUUUGAUCUACAGUUAUUUUUGGUACGACCAAAUUUGCAGCAUAGAAAGCAUUGAAUUGUAGGGAAAAUGUAUGUAUGUAGUUCAACGGCAAGAGAGUUGUAUCAUGAAAACACUCGUUUGGGUAAAACUUGACCGUCAAAUGUUAAUACAUCUGUAUCUGAAGCUGUAUCUGAGGAUGAAAAUAAAUUCCUGCCAACCUUGGUGCUAGUAGUG